CGUUUCUCUUUCUGAGAAACCAAAUAGAAAUCUAACCCUAAAUCUAGCCACCAUCACCAUCCCUCAUCAACGAACACUUCUCCUCUGGUAGAGGGUGCUAUCGCCGUCGGCAGGCGGACCGUUGGUGCCAUCGCAUUCCUCUCAUCGCAGAACACUUUUCAGUUCUCAUCGUUCCUCUUCUCGUUUGAGCUCUCUCUCUCUCUCUCUCUCUCUCUCUCUCUCUCUCUCUCUCUCCCCGAGGUCAACAUGCCUCUUCGAGUGCUUUAUCACUCUCUGUCCAAGCUCACUCUUCUUCCUCCAUUGCCGUCACUUCCGAUUCCUCCAUCGCCGUCACUUGCCUUCCUCUUUUGCUGCUGACAAUUUGCUCAACGUUCACGAGUCCGUAAACUUCAAUACAUAGCUAAUUUAGAAAGAAAUGUACAAGGUUUACAGGCAGAAGGAUCUGAAGUAUCUGCCGAGCUUGAAUUUCUUAACCAGCAAAAUCUCAUCCUAAGUAUAGAGAACAAAGCUCUCAAGCAACGGUUAGAAAGUUUAGCAUAAGAGCAGCUUAUCAAAUAUUGCAUAGGUCUUGUUAUUUAAGUUUUGAUAAAGGAAAAAGAAAAUGGCUUCAAGAUUAGGUAGUGAUAAUGAUACUGAUAAUAACAAAGGUAGCAUGUGGGUUUUGGAGAAAAAGCUGGAUCAGCCAAUGGAUGAAGAAGCUGCAAGGCUAAAAAAAUAUGUACAAAGA